rnacentral:rRNA from 1 species
GACGAACGCUGGCGGCGUGCUUAACACAUGCAAGUCGAACGGAAAGGCCCUGCUUUUGUGGGGUGCUCGAGUGGCGAACGGGUGAGUAACACGUGAGUAACCGGCCCUUGACUUUGGGAUAACUUCAGGAAACUGGGGCUAAUACCGUAUCGGAGACCCUGUUGCAUGGUGGGGGGUGGAACGUUUGGGCGGUUGGGGUUGGACUCGCGGCUUAUCAGCUUGUUGGUGGGGUAGUGGCUGACCAAGGCUUUGACGGGUAGCCGGCCUGUGAGGGUGACCGGCCACAUUGGGACUGAGAUACGGCCCAGAGUGCUACGGGGGGCAGCAGUGGGGAAUAUUGCACAAUGGGCGGAAGCCUGAUGCAGCAACGCCGCGUGCGGGAUGACGGCCUUCGGGGUGUAAACCGCUUUCGCCUGUGACGAAGCGUGAGUGACGGUAAUGAGUAAAGAAGCACCGGCUAACUACGUG